rnacentral:rRNA from 1 species
CGUCGAGCGGCGGACGGGUGAGUAAUGCAUAGGAAUCUGCCCGGUAGUGGGGGAUAACCUGGGGAAACCCAGGCUAAUACCGCAUACGUCCUACGGGAGAAAGCGGGGGCUCUUCGGACCUCGCGCUAUCGGAUGAGCCUAUGUCGGAUUAGCUUGUUGGUGAGGUAAUGGCUCACCAAGGCGACGAUCCGUAGCUGGUCUGAGAGGAUGAUCAGCCACAUCGGGACUGAGACACGGCCCGAACUCCUACGGGAGGCAGCAGUGGGGAAUAUUGGACAAUGGGCGAAAGCCUGAUCCAGCCAUGCCGCGUGUGUGAAGAAGGCUUUCGGGUUGUAAAGCACUUUCAGUGAGGAAGAAAGCCUUGGGGCUAAUACCCCCAAGGGACGACAUCACUCACAGAAGAAGCACCGGCUAACUCCGUGCCAGCAGCCGCGGUAAUACGGAGGGUGCGAGCGUUAAUCGGAAUUACUGGGCGUAAAGCGCGCGUAGGCGGCGUGAUAAGCCGGUUGUGAAAGCCCCGGGCUCAACCUGGGAACGGCAUCCGGAACUGUCAGGCUAGAGUGCAGGAGAGGAAGGUAGAAUUCCCGGUGUAGCGGUGAAAUGCGUAGAGAUCGGGAGGAAUACCAGUGGCGAAGGCGGCCUUCUGGACUGACACUGACGCUGAGGUGCGAAAGCGUGGGUAGCAAACAGGAUUAGAUACCCUGGUAGUCCACGCCGUAAACGAUGUCGACUAGCCGUUGGGGUCCUAGAGACCUUUGUGGCGCAGUUAACGCGAUAAGUCGACCGCCUGGGGAGUACGGCCGCAAGGUUAAAACUCAAAUGAAUUGACGGGGGCCCGCACAAGCGGUGGAGCAUGUGGUUUAAUUCGAUGCAACGCGAAGAACCUUACCUACCCUUGACAUCGUGCGAACUUGGUAG